CCCCACCAAGAUUUUCGCCACUGUCAAGAAGAGAGUGAACAAGUUAAUCAGACUGUGUCUGUCCAUGUGUCUACUAAUGCUAUUAAGAUGCAUUGCACCUUAUUCUAUUAUUUUACUCUGUCUGCCAGAUUAUUUUACUCUGUCUAACGCCAGACAAUUUUACUUUUCAACAAGAUAGCAAACAAGUUAAUCAGACUAUCUCUGUCCAUGCAUGUCUAGUAAACCUAUUAAGUUGCUUUGUGCCCUAAUGCACCCUGUAUACUUUAUUAUUUUACUCUGCCUAACAUCAAACUAUUUUAUUCUGUCUAACACUAGACAAUUUUACUCUUCAAGGGGAGACUGAACAAGGUAAUCGGGCUAUAUAACUGCCCAUGUGCCUAGUAAAGCCAUUAAGUUGCACUGUGCCUAUAUUAAUACACCCUACUUUAUUAUUUUAUCUGUCUAACACCAGAUUAUUUAUUUUUACUGUCUAACGCC